rnacentral:rRNA from 1 species
AGCGAACGCUGGCGGCAGGCCUAAUACAUGCAAGUCGAGCGCACCUUCGGGUGAGCGGCGGACGGGUGAGUAACGCGUGGGAACGUGCCCUUUGGUACGGGAUAACUGAGGGAAACUUCAGCUAAUACCGUAUGUGCCCUAUGGGGGAAAGAUUUAUCGCCAUUGGAGCGGCCCGCGUUGGAUUAGGUAGUUGGUGAGGUAAAGGCUCACCAAGCCUACGAUCCAUAGCUGGUCUGAGAGGAUGAUCAGCCACACUGGGACUGAGACACGGCCCAGACUCCUACGGGAGGCAGCAGUAGGGAAUCUUGCGCAAUGGGCGAAAGCCUGACGCAGCCAUGCCGCGUGUAUGAUGAAGGUCUUAGGAUUGUAAAAUACUUUCACCGGGGAAGAUAAUGACGGUACCCGGAGAAGAAGCCCCGGCUAACUUCGUGCCAGCCGCCGCCGUAAUAC